rnacentral:rRNA from 1 species
AGGGAACUGAAACAUCCUAAGUACCCUGGAGGAAAGGACAUCAACAGAGACUCCGCUAGUAGUGGCGAGCGAACGCGGAUCAGGCCAGUGCCUCAGUGAAGAUAAGUGGAACCUUCUGGAAAAGUUGGGCCGUAGCGGGUGAUAGCCCCGUACACGUAAUGCGGAUCUGAGGCCUCGAGUAGGGCGGGACACGUGAAAUCCUGUUCGAACAUGGGGGGACCACCCUCCAAGCCUAAGUACUCCUUACCGACCGAUAGCGAACCAGUACCGUGAGGGAAAGGUGAAAAGCACCCCGACAAGGGGAGUGAAAUAGACCUGAAACCGAAUGCCUACAAACAGUCGGAGCCCGCAAGGGUGACGGCGUACCUUUUGUAUAAUGGGUCUGCGACUUAGUCUGACGAGCAAGCUUAAGGCGAUAGCUGUAGGCGAAGCGAAAGCGAGUCUGAACAGGGCGUUCAGUUCGUCGGACUAGACCCGA